rnacentral:rRNA from 1 species
CAGAGGGUGCAAACGUUGCUCGGAAUUAUUGGGCGUAAAGCGCACGUAGGCGGCAUGGUAAGUUGGAUGUGAAAACCCUGGGCUCAACCCUGGAAGUGCAUCCAAGACUGCCACGCUGGAGUGUCGGAGGGGGUCGGAGAAUUCCCGGUGUAGAGGUGAAAUUCGUAGAUAUCGGGAGGAACACCUGUGGCGAAGGCGCCGACCUGGACGACAACUGACGCUGAGGUGCGAAAGCAUGGGGAGCAAACAGGAUUAGAUACCCUGGUAGUCCAUGCCGUAAACGAUGAGUGCUGGACGGUGGAGGAUUAUGACCCCUUCGUCGUCGAAGCUAACGCGUUAAGCACUCCGCCUGGGAAGUACGGUCGCAAGACUA